rnacentral:rRNA from 1 species
UACGUAGGGCGCAAGCGUUGUCCGGAAUUAUUGGGCGUAAAGAGCUCGUAGGCGGUUUGUCGCGUCUGCUGUGAAAACCUAAGGCUCAACCUUGGGCUUGCAGUGGGUACGGGCAGACUAGAGUGUGGUAGGGGAGACUGGAAUUCCUGGUGUAGCGGUGAAAUGCGCAGAUAUCAGGAGGAACACCGGUGGCGAAGGCGGAUCUCUGGGCCUUGCCUGACGCUGAGGCGCGAAAGCUAGGGGAGCGAACAGG